AUCCAGCUGACGAGUCCCAAAUAGGACGAAACGCGCGUCCUGGAN
rfam:Schistosoma rodhaini strain Burundi genome assembly, scaffold: SROB_scaffold0005222